CUGUUUAAUUUGUGUUUUUUCUCUUUCUCUUUUCUAAAAAUAAAGUGAUCUUUUGUAAUACUGUGCACAAGUCUGUGUCUAUUUGCAACUGCAUUGUGUGGGGUUUAAUUAGCAGGAUAACAUGACAUAUUAAUGUGAAGAAAUGCGUAUGAAGCUGCUUUGCCAACCAUCCACUGAACACAAAAAACCAAGACUGUAAUGAAUGUACUGGUCAGCCUCCGGAACAGAAGAGGGCAGUGAAGCAGCAGUAAGAUGUGAGUCAACCGCCGAGAGAAAAGAUGAAGGCCGCAAGUUAAACCGUGGCUCCUGAGAAAAGAAAAGAAGUUGGAUUCAGAGGUAUUUGGUUUGUUUAUACACAUUAAAAGAACAAGAGGAACAAGACUAGAUUUAAAAAAGCGAUGGAUUAAUGCGUAGACGUCCCUGUAAACUACUUUCUGAAGUCGAGAGAUACAUUUCUGUCCAGGAAGGUAAACAACGACAAAUUUAAUCCGUCACUUUUAGAUUAGAAGUCAAACAGUCUAACCGAACACUUGUGACCGAGUGAUGCAGAAAACGAGCUACAACCGAGUCCCUCAAAACAAGCUUUUCCUCCGCUGUGUACAAAACACGUCGACCUCGAUGCGCUGAGAGAAGAGCAGUUUCACAAACUUAGUUGUAAACAUCUGGAGAGGAAGUGCGUUUCGGUUUCGGUUUCGGUUAUGCGCACGUGCUACUGAGAGACGUCAGUGAGAAACACACGUGUUUAUAAGAAGGUUUGAAAUGCCUGCAGCAUGGCUUGCGCUCACCAAUCUGCUGAAGAGUACCUCGAAAAAACAGGAAAACACUACUGACUCAAAUGAAAACCUUUCUCUGAUCAUUGAUAAUCUUUAUCAGGAGAAUAUCUUCUGUGAUGAUGAGGUCAAUGCUCUGAAAGCUGACAGGACUGAGUUUGAACAAGCCAGAUGUUUAUUAGACAUGGUCAUUAACAAAGGUGAAGAGGCCAGCUAUGAAUUUCUCCGGAUUCUGGAUGUCACUAAGAAGAGGACAU